GUAACUGGUUGUUAUGGAGAUGGUAAAAUAUCAACCAUUCUUUGUGAGAGUGUGGAAGAUCAAUUUUGGAUCCAUUACAGCAGCUUCUUUUCCCUGCUCAGCUGUAAUCAGCCGUCCUUAGGAAGCGACAGGGAUGCCAUGAUUGCAAGCCUGGAUUUGCUGGUUAACACUGUGAAACAGCUAAUGACUGGAGUCUAUGAACCUCUGUGCAUUUAAGCUAGCCUCAUUUGUAGCUGCCAUCUAUGGACAUUCCAAAACAGCAAAGAGCUGAGACAGGGAGAAAGGGGGGGAGGAGGGAAGAUGGUGAAAAAGAGAAAGAACAUGAAUGAAUGAUGAGUUGCAGAUAUUUUGGGUCACCUUACACCAGGGCCAACUUUUAUUCAAGUAUGUCAUGCUGUUGAGUGAAGUUGAAGGAAAAAACAAAUAUUAAACUGAAAAAAGAACAAGUUGUAAUCAUGCAAUGAAAGCAAAUAAAUGACUGUGCAAU
rnacentral:lncRNA from 1 species